UGGGGAAUAUUGGACAAUGGGCGAAAGCCUGAUCCAGCCAUGCCGCGUGUGUGAAGAAGGUCUUCGGAUUGUAAAGCACUUUAAGUUGGGAGGAAGGGCAGUAAGUUAAUACCUUGCUGUUUUGACGUUACCAACAGAAUAAGCACCGGCUAACUUCGUGCCAGCAGCCGCGGUAAUACGAAGGGUGCAAGCGUUAAUCGGAAUUACUGGGCGUAAAGCGCGCGUAGGUGGUUCAGCAAGUUGGAUGUGAAAUCCCCGGGCUCAACCUGGGAACUGCAUCCAAAACUACUGAGCUAGAGUACGGUAGAGGGUGGUGGAAUUUCCUGUGUAGCGGUGAAAUGCGUAGAUAUAGGAAGGAACACCAGUGGCGAAGGCGACCACCUGGACUGAUACUGACACUGAGGUGCGAAAGCGUGGGGAGCAAACAGGAUUAGAUACCCCGGUAGUCCACGCCGUAAACGAUGUCGACUAGCCGUUGGGAUCCUUGAGAUCUUAGUGGCGCAGCUAACGCGAUAAGUCGACCGCCUGGGGAGUACGGCCGCAAGGUUA
rnacentral:rRNA from 1 species